rnacentral:rRNA from 1 species
CGGCGUACGGGUGCGGAACACGUGUGCAACCUACCUUUAUCUGGAGGAUAGCUUUCGAAAGGAAGAUUAAUACUCCAUAAUAUAUUGAUUGGCAUCAAUUAAUAUUGAAAGCUCCGGCGGAUAGAGAUGGGCACGCGCAAGAUUAGGUUAGUUGGUGAGGUAACGGCUCACCAAGACGAUGAUCUUUAGGGGGGCCUGAGAGGGUGAUCCCCACACUGGUACUGAGACACGGACCAGACUCCUACGGGAGGCAGCAGUGAGGAAUAUUGGACAAUGGGUGCAAGCCUGAUCCAGCCAUCCCGCGUGAAGGACGACUGCCUAUGGGUUGUAAACUUUCUUUGUAUAGGGAUAAACCUCUCCUCGUGAGGAGAGCUGAAGGUACUAUACGAAUAAGCACCGGCUAACUCCGUG